rnacentral:lncRNA from 1 species
UGUGGUCAUAAACAUUGUGUUUAAAUUUCAUAGAUUUCCAUUUACUUAACCUAAGGUUAUUGUGCAAAAACCAAGAAAAAUGCUUAUUUGGGCCCUUUAUUGGCCCCUUAUUCCUAAACUAUUGAAACCAAAACUCCCAAAAUCAAUCCCAAUCUUUCUUUUGUGGUCAUAAACCUUGCGUCAAAAUUUCAUAGAUUUCUAUUAACUUAAACUAAAGUUAUGGUGCGAAAACCAAGAAAAUGCUUAUUUGGGCCCUUUUUGGCCCCUUAUUCCUAAAAUGUUGGGACCAAAACUCCCAAAAUCAAUACCAACCUUCCUUUUAUGGUCAUAAACCUUGUGUUAAAAUUUCAUAGAUUUCUAUUCACUUUUACUAAAGUUAGAGUGCGAAAACUAAAAGUAUUCGGACGACGACGACGACGACGACGACGACGACGACGCAGACGCCAACGUGAUAGCAAUAUACGACGAAAAUUUUUUCAAAAUUUGCGGUCGUAUAAAAACUAU